rnacentral:rRNA from 1 species
GACGAACGCUGGCGGCGUGCUUAACACAUGCAAGUCGAACGGAAAGGCCCUGCUUUUGUGGGGUGCUCGAGUGGCGAACGGGUGAGUAACACGUGAGUAACCUGCCCUUGACUUUGGGAUAACUUCAGGAAACUGGGGCUAAUACCGGAUAGGAGCUCCUGCUGCAUGGUGGGGGUUGGAAAGUUUCGGCGGUUGGGGAUGGACUCGCGGCUUAUCAGCUUGUUGGUGGGGUAGUGGCUUACCAAGGCUUUGACGGGUAGCCGGCCUGAGAGGGUGACCGGCGACAAUGCGACUGAGAUACGGCCCAGACUCCUACGGGAGGCAGCAGUGGCGAAUAUUGCACAAUGGGCGGAAGCCUGAUGCAGCAACGCCGCGGGCGGGAUGACGGCCUGCGGGUUGUAAACCGCUUUCGCCUGUGACGAAGCGUGAGUGACGGUAAUGGGUAAAGAAGCACCGGCUAACUACGUG